rnacentral:lncRNA from 1 species
CAGGGGUUCCCAGUGAAGGUGUUGGUGACUCGAUUUCGAUUUUUAAAACCUGCGUAAAAUUUGGACAACAAUAGUCAUAAAAACGACCGUCUACUAAUUUGAAUCUUUUAGCAUUUACCUUUUCCUUGCAUUGAAUAUUAUCCUUUAGUAUAUAAGAAAGAACACUAGCGGCUCUGCAACUAGUCUGCAAAUGACACAUCAUCAGAUGAGGUUUGAAAUUAGAAACUGAGUAAAAUGCCAUUUUCGUCUCUAAGGUUUGGCCAGUUUUGCGACUUUCAUCCAAAGCGAGCCGGAUGA